AUGAAGGUUUUCAUCUGUUUUGCAGGCAAUGAAGCAAGGGCUUUUUCAUGUAUGUUUGAACCGUCAGUGGAGAUUUCAGGAUAUCGCUCAAAUAGCUUGGCUGCAGUAAUUUUCUUGAGUGGAUGAUGUAGAGAAGAAGGCAUUAGCUGAGAGCGGGAGACCUGGAUUCCGGAGUGGGCAGUAACAGGCCGGGCCUGGUUUUACUAAGCAGAUACGGGGUCUCGAUCUUGCUCAGGCUGGUCUCGAACUCCUG